CGCGCGUGUGAGUCUGCAUCACAUGACACAACCAGAGACGUCCACUUCAGCCCGUCCCAUAGAACCCAAGUUCUGUUCCCAGCAACCAUGUUGGGCAAUUUACAACCAUCUGUGACAAAGUUUCACUAAUCCAUCUAAACAGCAAAAGAACAACACUGAGUAAGACAAUGAAUGGAGGGGGACUUCCAGGAGCAGGGAGGACUCGGAGGCAGCUGCGUCCCUGAAGCCCACCCCAGCGUAAGAGACAUCUGGAAUUCUGGAGCUCUUCUCUAUACGACUUGCAGGGAGAUCAGACAGGCCUUUGUGGGGCAGUGGACCCUGCCGGAAAACUUGGUAAGGUCAAGUAGAUCCAGAGACCCUGGUCCCUCAAACCUACUCCCGACCAUGUUUCUGUCCUGGAACACAUGACCAUGACACCUCGUGGAGAGGACUGUGACAAUCAGUCACAUAGGGGCAGCCCCUGAAGUCCCUCUACAUGCAGAUGAGGCAUCCCUAACAUCUCAGACCCCCGACCUUGGCUCCUACCCACCACACAGCACCAACUCCGGAGCAGCAGUGACUGCUGAAGAGACCUGGCUGCUCGCCUGGAUCCGACUCCUCCUCCUGGCCCUCCAUGUCAUAGAAGGUUGACUGCCUCACCCCUUUGGAAAGCACAACUCUUUGGCCAUUCUGGCUGGGCCAGAGCCCCGCAGAUCUCCACAGAUAGUGUCUGGUACACAGACCAGCAGGCCAUAGACCUUUACUGAGAGAGGAAGAAACUGAAGUAGAGGCCAUGGAUCAAUGCUGCUCACUGGCUUGCUCCCCCUGGCUUUCUCAGCCAUCUUUGUUUCUUAUAUAACUCAGGUCCACCUAUCUUGUCACUGUGACUCUGGUAAACAGCCCUUCAUUCAUUUACUCCAUCCGACGGCAGGCAGGCGCUGCGUUGGGUCCUGAAGAGACUCGUCCUGCGAGCGUGGAAGAUGAGAAGACCUAAGUGGAAGAAUGUCUUGUGCUUGGGGAAGGAAAAAAAGACUCGACAGCGUGGAAGUAAUUCAAUGAGUAAAAUCUCAUACUUCAACGAGUA